rnacentral:tRNA from 1 species
GCGGGCGUGGUGGAAUUGGUAGACACGCUAGACUUAGGAUCUAGUGCCGUGAGGUGUGGAGGUUCGAGUCCUCUCGCCCGCA